ACGCUCGACACCUACGGGNGGCAGCAGUGGGGAAUAUUGCACAAUGGGGGAAACCCUGAUGCAGCGACGCCGCGUGGAGGAAGAAGGUCUUCGGAUUGUAAACUCCUGUUGUUGGGGAAAAAGAGGAUGGUACCCAACAAGGAAGUGACGGCUAACUACGUGCCCGCAGCCGCGGUAAUCUGAGCGGGCUGGCAAGGC
rnacentral:rRNA from 1 species